rnacentral:piRNA from 1 species
UNCUCAGUAAUUCCAGUGGAAACCUCUUG